AGUGAACGCUGGCGGUAGGCCUAACACAUGCAAGUCGAACGGCAGCACAGUAAGAGCUUGCUCUUACGGGUGGCGAGUGGCGGACGGGUGAGGAAUACAUCGGAAUCUACUUUUUCGUGGGGGAUAACGUAGGGAAACUUACGCUAAUACCGCAUACGACCUACGGGUGAAAGCAGGGGAACUUCGGACCUUGCGCGAUUGAAUGAGCCGAUGUCGGAUUUGCUGGUUGGCGGGGGAAAGGCCCACCAAGGCGACGAUCCGUAGCUGGUCUAAGAGGAUGACGAGCCAACCUGGAACUGAGCACCGGUCCAGCCUCCUACGGAGGGCAGCAGUGGGGAAUAUUGGACAAUGGGCGCAAGCCUGAUCCAGCCCUACCGCGUGGGUGAAGAAGGCCUUCGGGUUGUAAAGCCCUUUUGUUGGGAAAGAAAAGCAGCAGGUUAAUACCCCGCUGUUCUGACGGUACCCAAAGAAUAAGCACCGGCUAACUUCGUG
rnacentral:rRNA from 1 species